AGUAAAUUAUAAUUCUCAAUCUCUCCGCUUCUAACUGAGCCCCUACAAACCCUAGUUCUUCAUCCUCUCCACAACCGUAGCCCUAUUUCCCUGCAAAAAUUUCCAAAUGGCAACAGAAGGUGUGAAACCCAAGCUUACCCGCUGGCCGAUGCGCAGCUCACCGCAACGAUGAUGAACUUGGUUCAACAAGCUGCCAACUAUAAGCAUCUUUAAAAGGUUGCUAAUGAAGCCACUAAGACACUAAACAAAGGAAUUUCAGAGUUUAUUGUUAUGGCAGCCGAUGCUGAACCACUAGAAAUUAUUCUUCAACUUCCACUGCUAUCAGAAGAUAAGGUAAAAUUUGUGCUAUAGGCAAUUUGGCUGUUUAGGAUAAUCCAAAAUAAAAUUGGAAAAAUGUUUGGAAUUAUGUAGACUGAUUGACAAUUAUAUGCUUUAUUAUUAUAAAAGAAUUUACUAGUUGUACUUUCUAGUGUAAAUCAAAUGUAUUUUUUUAUUCAGUGUUCCCAUUUUAGAUAACUUAUUAUGAUUGUUGUUGUUGUUGUUUUGAUGCAUCUUUCAUAGAAUUUCUGAAUCUAAAUCAUGAUCAUUAUUAACUUUUCAUUGCAGUUUAGGUCAAUUUUGUUAGGCUGCUAAUAUUAGUUGCAUUACCUAUAUUUCUGUUAGAGCAGUUGCCAAGGUUGCUCAUGUUGCAACAAUGGAAGCUCAUAUGCUAACAUAGAUCACACAAUACGUUGUUCAUUUUCUUGGUGAAAUGGGAUUAUCAGUUAUUAUUGUAUUGCUGGUUCUGUUUUUGGUUUCUUAGAAAGAAAGCCUGAUGAUUGCAUCCUUAAGAACGGAGAUCUGAAUCGGUACUGUUUGUUGUAGCCUGCCCUCCGGCUGGGCUCCAAAUAGUACUUUAUGACGUCAAAUUGUAAAAGAUUUGAAGAUGAAGGCUUUCCAUACUUUUUUUUGAAUAUGCUAUUACAUUUAAUUAACAAUAUAUCAACAAUAUAUAUAAAUGUUUAUUUAUUUCAAGUUGUCUUACCAUACAAAAAACUUGUAUUUUCAAGUAUUUAGUUGGAUAGUUUAUUGUUUGAAAAUAUCAUCUUUAUAUACAACACUACACUCUUAUAAAGCAUAUAAUUUUUUCUUAGAAUGGCAUUUGUUGUUUUACUGUCAAUUAAUAUGUGUUACAUGAUUUAAAUUUUAGAAGGAUAUUUGAGAUCAAGAAAGACUAGUUUUUCUCUAUACUCUUCUACUGUUUAACAUGCUUUCUUUACUUGUAGUUAUUUUCCUUUGUCAGCAUUUGCUCUGUUUUAGGCCCUUGCUAGUUUUACCUGUGGUUUGGUGCUAAGUUGGCCUAGCAUUUGGGUGCAUAAUUUCAUCAAAGUUACAGUAAAGAGGUUAAGAUGGAAAGGAUCUCAUCACAUUUUUUAUUUGCUGACUUUUGGAAUCUGUAAUUUAUGUCAUAUUCAAAAUGUACCCUAUGUAUUUGUUCCUUCAAAACCAGCUCUAGGUUGAGCUUGUAGCUAUACCCGACCUGUGAUUGCUUGUUCCGAGACAAGCAAUGAAGGAAGUCAGUUGAAAUCUCAAAUACAGCAGCUCAAGGAUGCCCUUGAGAAACUCCAUUCCAGAUUCACUUUGAGGUUUUGACUGACGAAGUUAGCCUGCAAUGCUGCCAUCUCUUCUCCGUUUAAUGAAUUUCAUGUUUGAAAAACAGAGGUAUAUUGAUACAUUCUGGGAGUUGGUUAUUUAGGAAGUUGCUAAUUGGAGAAGUCUUAUUUUAUUAAAAUUAAAUUACAUUGUUUCAAUAUUAAGAAACUA